CGUAGGUGGCGAGCGUUGUCCGGAUUUACUGGGCGUAAAGGGAGCGUAGGCGGUUUUUUAAGUGGGGUGUGAAAUCCCUGGGCUUAACCCAGGAAUUGCAUUCCAUACUGGAAGACUAGAGUGCAGGAGAGGAAAGUGGAAUUCCAAGUGUAGCGGUGAAAUGCGUAGAGAUUUGGAGGAACACCAGUGGCGAAGGCGACUUUCUGGACUGUAACUGACGCUGAGGCUCGAGAGCGUGGGGAGCAAACAGGAUUAGAUACCCUGGUAGUCCACGCUGUAAACGAUGAAUACUAGGUGUAGGGGGCGAAGCCCUCUGUGCCGCAGUUAACACAUUAAGUAUCCCACCUGGGGAGUACGGCCGCAAGGUUG
rnacentral:rRNA from 1 species